rnacentral:rRNA from 1 species
UACGUAGGGGGCAAGCGUUGUCCGGAAUCAUUGGGCGUAAAGCGCGCGUAGGCGGCCCGGUAAGUCCGUUGUGAAAGUCAAAGGCUCAACCUUUGAACGCCGAUGGAUACUGCCGGGCUAGAGUCCGGAAGAGGCGAGUGGAAUUCCUGGUGUAGCGGUGGAAUGCGCAGAUAUCAGGAGGAACACCAAUAGCGAAGGCAGCUCGCUGGGACGGUACUGACGCGUGAGGCGACGAA